rnacentral:rRNA from 1 species
UACGGAAGGCAGCAGUGGGGAAUAUUGCACAAUGGGCGAAGCCUGAUGCAGCUAUGCCGCGUGUAUGAAGAAGGCCUUAGGGUUGUAAAGUACUUUCAUCGGGGAGGAAAAACAAAACUAAUAAUUUUAUUUCUUGACGUUACCCGAAAAAGAAGCACCGGCUAACUCCGUGCCAGCAGCCGCGGUAAUACGGAGGGUGCUAGCGUUAAUCAGAAUUACUGGGCGUAAAGAGCACGUAGGUGGUUUUUUUAAGUCAGAUGUGAAAUCCCUGGGCUUAACCUAGGAACUGCAUUUUGAAACUGAAAUACUAGAGUAUCGUAGAGGGAGGUAGAAUUCUAGGUGUAGCGGUGAAAUGCGUAGAUAUCUGGAGGAAUACCUGUGGCGAAAGCGGCCUCCUAAACGAAUACUGACACUGAGGUGCGAAAGCGUGGGGAGCAAACAGGAUUAGAUACC